rnacentral:tRNA from 1 species
GGAAGGAUCGCAUAGUGGUCGAUUGCGCACGCUUGGAAAGCGUGUAUACCGAAAGGUAUCGAGGGUUCGAAUCCCUCUCCUUCCG